GACGAACGCUGGCGGCGUGCCUAAUACAUGCAAGUUGAGCGCACAGGCGUGGUACUUGUACCAACUGGAUGAGCAGCGAACGGGUGAGUAACGCGUGGGUAAUCUGCCUAUGAGCGGGGGACAACAUUGGGAAACGAAUGCUAAUACCACAUAAAAACUUUAAACACAAGUCUUAAGAUUGAAAGAUGCAAUUGCAUCACUCAAUGGUGAUCCCGCGUUGUAUUAGCGUGUUGGUGAGGUAAAGGCUCACCAAGGCGAUGAUACAUAGCCGACCUGAGAGGGGGAUCGGCAACAUGGGACCUGAGAAACGGUCCAGACUCCUACGGGAGGAAGCGGUAGGGAAUCUUCCGAAAUGGGCGAAAGCCUGACGGAGCAAGGCGGCGUGAGUGAUGAGGGUCUUCGGAUCGUAAAACUCUGUUAUUAGGAAAGAACAAACGUGUAAGUAACUGUGCACGGCGUGACGGUACCUAAUCAGAAAGCCACGGCUAACUACGUG
rnacentral:rRNA from 1 species